CUUACGUUGACUAACUCAGGUCAUACUUUUACUAACACAG
rnacentral:sRNA from 1 species